UACGAGGGGGGCGAGCGUUGUUCGGAAUUAUUGGGCGUAAAGGGUGCGUAGGCGGUUUGGUAAGUCUCUUGUGAAAUCUAUGGGCUCAACUCAUAGUCUGCAAGGGAAACUGCCGGGCUUGAGUGUGGGAGAGGUGAGUGGAAUUUCCGGUGUAGCGGUGAAAUGCGUAGAUAUCGGGAGGAACACCUGUGGCGAAAGCGGCUCACUGGACCACAACUGACGCUGAGGCGCGAAAGCUAGGGGAGCAAACAGG
rnacentral:rRNA from 1 species